GGCACCUAAGAAGUGGGCUUGGGAAGGAAGCAGUCACCGCUCAGACCUUCGCUGGGCAGCGUCUUUGUCCCUUGCCACCCUCCCAUGGAAAGACAAUGAAUAAAAGUGAGCUGGUACAGAAAGCCAAACUCUCUGAGCAGGCUGAGAGCUAUGAUGAUGCACCUGCAGCCAUGAAGGCGGUCACAGAACAGGGGCAUGAACUCUCCAAUGAAGAGAGAAAUCUGUUCUCUGUUGCCUACAAGAAUGUGGUAGGCACCCGCUGCUCUUCCCAGCGUGUCAUCUCCAACAUUGAGCAGAAAACAGACAGGAAUGAGAAGCAGCAGCAGAUGGGCAAAGAGGACCGUGAGAAGAUAGAGGCAGAACUGCAGGACAUCUGCAAUGACGUUCUGGAGCUGUUGGACAAAUAUCUCAUUCCCAGUGCUACAUAACCAGAAAGUAAGGUGUUUUACCUGAAAAUGAAAGAUUAUUUUAGGUAUCUUUCUGAAGUGGCAUCUGGAGACAAACAAACCACUGUGUUGAACUCCCAGCAGGCUUACCGGGAAGCAAUUAGAAAUUAGAAAGAAAUGCAGCCUGCACACCCAAUUCGACUUGAUCCGGCACUUAAUUUCUCAGUCUUUUACUAUGACAUUCUCAAUUCUCCUGAAAAGGCCUGUGGCCUGGCAAAAAUGGCAUUUGGUGAACCAAUUGCUAAAUUGGAUAUACUGAAUGAAGAGUCUUAUUUGCACUCUUAUCAUGCAGUUACUUAGGGACAGUCUCACUCUGUGGACAUCGGAAAACCAGGGGACGAAGGAGACGCUGGGAAGGGAGAGAACUAAUGUCUCUCAUGCUUCGUGAUCUGUUCAGUGUCACUCCGUACCCUCCCAUGUGCGAU